rnacentral:rRNA from 1 species
CCCUUAGAUGUUCUGGGCUGCACGCGCGCUACACUGAUGCGUUCAACAAGUGUUAACCUUGCCCGAUAGGGUUGGGUAAUCUUUUGAAAGCGCAUCGCGAUGGGGAUCGACGACUGCAAUUGUUCGUCUUCAACGAGGAAUUCCUAGUAAGCGCAAGUCAUCAGCUUGCACUGAUUACGUCCCUGCCCUUUGUACACACCGCCCGUCGCUCCUACCGAUUGAGUGAUUCGGUGAAUAGUUCGGAUCGUGCAGGUCGCCCUCGGGUGCUUGUAUGAGAAGUUCAGUAAACCUUAUCACUUAGAGGAAGGAGAAGUCGUAACA